UACGUAGGGCGCAAGCGUUGUCCGGAAUUAUUGGGCGUAAAGAGCUCGUAGGCGGUUUGUCGCGUCUGCUGUGAAAACCUAAGGCUCAACCUUGGGCUUGCAGUGGGUACGGGCAGACUAGAGUGCGGUAGGGGGUGACUGGAAUUCCUGGUGUAGCGGUGGAAUGCGCAGAUAUCAGGAGGAACACCGAUGGCGAAGGCAGGUCACUGGGCCGCAACUGACGCU
rnacentral:rRNA from 1 species